GACGUAGGGCGCGAGCGUUGUCCGGAUUUAUUGGGCGUAAAGAGCUCGUAGGCGGCUUGUUGCGUCGACCGUGAAAACUUGUGGCUCAACCAUGAGCUGGCGGUCGAUACGGGCAGGCUGGAGUUCGGUAGGGGAGACUGGAAUUCCUGGUGUAGCGGUGAAAUGCGCAGAUAUCAGGAGGAACACCGGUGGCGAAGGCGGCGUUCUGGACUGCAACUGACACUGAGAAACGAAAGCCAGGGUAGCAAACGGG
rnacentral:rRNA from 1 species